UACGUAGGGAGCAAGCGUUGUCCGGAAUCAUUGGGCGUAAAGCGCGCGUAGGUGGCUUCGUAAGUCCGUUGUGAAAGUCAAAGGCUCAACCUUUGAAAGCCGAUGGAUACUGCGGAGCUAGAGUACGGAAGAGGCGAGUGGAACUCCUGGUGUAGCGGUGGAAUGCGCAGAUAUCAGGAGGAACACCAAUAGCGAAGGCAGCUCGCUGGGACGUUACUGACACUGAGGCGCGAAAGCGUGGGGAGCGAACAGG
rnacentral:rRNA from 1 species